rnacentral:lncRNA from 1 species
GGGUUCAGGGUUUGGUGAAGAAGAUGAGUGAAGGGGGGUUAGGAUAGGGGGCGGGGUAGCAAGGUUAGGCCUUAUAUAUGCUUUAGAGUUUUAGAUCCUGGCCGUUGGAUCAAGGGAGAUCUAUGGCCAGGAUCUAUUCUUUAGGUAGGACGUCGUCGUUUAGGUGGGAAGGUAGUUAAAACCGGGUAGGGAAAUGGGUCGGAUUAAAUUAACGGGUCUAAAGGGCGGGCCUCGAUCCGUUGGAUCAAAGGGAUUGGACGGCUCAGAUCAAACGCCUUGAACGGCGUCGUUAUGGUUAAAUGGGCGAUCUGAUCAAGACCGUUCAUUUAAAUCAUAUCAAUGGCUCUAAUAGGGAUGCUGAUACGGCAUCGUUUGAGUCAGUGCUUGGGCAGGCCUGGCUUGGACUGGGUCUUGCAUUGGCUUUGGGCCUCAUUUGGGGCCCAAUCCGAUUUCUUCACUUCUUUUUUUUUUCUUUUCUUUUUUUCUGAUUUUAAAAUACAACUAAAUUAAACUGAAUUUAAAACACUCAUUAAUCAACACCUAAACAAUUAUCACACACAUAUUAAAAUUUUAAAAAUGGUUAAAUCAUAGCCUAGAAUAAAAGCUGCAUAUUUUUGUGAAUUUUCUUUUAAAGACCGAAUUAUGGCCCGAUUACACACGGCAUACUUAUUUUGUAUUUUUGUUGGAGAAGAUUCAAUGAAAAAUGGAUAGAAACACAAAGGACUACCAGCACAUGUCACGUAAAAAUUGAAAAUUUGUAUGGCGAGGCCAUUUGCAAUUAUUUUGAUUUCUUUUGGAGUGAUUGUUCGUGAAGCAAAAAUCACGUGCUUACACCCGUUACUCGUUUUUUGGCAUUUUAAGGUCAUAAAACUUGAAUUCCGCCCGAUUCCCAGAUUUUCGUAUGCUAUAACCCACACCUCCUACAUGGGCCGGGGCGAUCGGUCCCCGAUCGCCUAAAACUUUGCUAGCCCAUCAAAAAUGACCUAAGAAAAAAUAGCCACCGCCCACCACAACUGUUACUCGUUUUUUAGCAUUCUAGGGUCGUAAAACUGGAAUUUUGCAUGAUUCCCAAAUUUUCGUGUGCUAUAGCCUAUGCCUCCUGCACGGGCCCCAGAUAUCGGACCCGGAUCGCCUAAAAUAUUCUCGGCCCGACAAAAACAAUCUAAGAAUAAUAGUUACCGCCUCGCCAUUAGCGUUACUCGUUUUUGGGCGUUUUAGGGUCAUAAAACUGGAAUUCUGUCCGAUUCUCAAAUUUUCGUGUGCCUCCUGCGUGGGGCCGGGCAAACAAAUUAGGGUCGCCUAUAAUUUUUCCAGCCCAUCAAAACGACCGAAGGAACAAUAGUCACCGCCUCUCCAUAAUCGUUGUUCGGUUUUUUUGGUGUUUUAAAGCCAUAAAACUGGAAUUCUGCGUGAUUCCUAGAUUUUCAUGUGCUAUAGCCCACACCUUCUGCAUGUACCCAGGCACCAGGACCCGCAUUGCCUAAAAAUUUUGUCAGCCAUUAAAUAUGACCUAAGGAAUAAUAGUCACUGCCUCGCCAUUACCGUUACACAUUUUUUGACAUUUUAGGGCCAUAAAAUUGGAAUUCGCCUAAUUUUCAAAUUUUAAUGUGCCCAAGCCCAUGCCUCCUGCACAUGCACGGGUCCGGGAGCCCGAAUCUGGAUCACCUAAAAAUUUUCAGGCCCAUCAAAAAUGAUCUAAGGAACAAUGGUCACAGCCUCUCCAUGAUCAUUACUCGUUUUUUGGCGUUUUAGGGCUAUAAAACUAGAAUUUCCCCGAUUCCCAGAUUUUCGUGUGCUAUAUAGCCCACACCUCUUGCAUGGGCCCGGACGCCUGAACCUGGAUCGUCUAAAAAUUUUCUAGACCAUAAAAAAUGACUUAAGAAAAUAUAGUCACUGCCUCGCCAUGACUGUUACUCAUUUUUUGGCAUCUUAGGGCCAUAAAAUUGGAAUUCUGCUCAAUUUCUAGAUUUUCGUGUUCUAUAGCCUGCGCUUCCUGCAUGGGCCCAAACAAACGAGCCUGGAUCGCCUAAAAUUCGUCGGCCCAUAAAAAAUGACCUAAGGAGCAAUAGUCACCGCCUAGCCAUGAUCGUUACUCGUUUUUUUGGCAUUUUAGGACCAUAAAACUGGAAUUCAAACCGAUUCCCAAAUUUUCGUGUGCAAUAGCCUGCACCUCCUGCAUAGGGGCGCCCAAACCUGGAUCGCCUAAAUUGCAGGGCCAUCAAAAAUGAUCUAAUGAAUAAUAGGCACCGCCUAGGCAUGAUUGUUACUCGUUUUUUAGCGUUUAAGGGCCAAAAACUAGAAUUCGGGCCAAAAACUCCUAAUGUUGUGAAUUUCAUCUGCUUACCAGAUGGUUAUGUGACUGUACUGUGCUAAACAAUCAUACUCCACUUGUGAGAUUUUUCUGGUUUGUUGUUAUUAUUGUAUAAACAGAAAAUGUAAAUUAAAGAUCUUCUAAUGACAUGAUUAAUGUAAUCUAACCUAUUAUAGUAGUUUUAGUAUAAUAGGAUAGUUACAAUUUUUUUUCAGAUUACUAUUGAGAAUUCGUCAUAAAUAUUUACCUAUAAUUACCUUAUAAAUGACCUGAUUAUGUAAAUAUUUUUAUACCGUCAAUUUUAAGACUAACGGUCAGUUAUUAAAACUAGCUGCUCCACUUUCAAUAUCCUCCUACCAUCUAAAUUGGUAAUUUUCAUGUUUUUGGCCUUCUAGUAGAUUAUAUGAACUGUGUAAGCUUGUUCCUAAGGCAUGUAGUUAAGAAUUUUGCUCGUAAUAUCGCAAGUAGCUAGACCAUCAACACAUGAUUCGUAUGAGUACAAAAGUGUUCAUAAUAAUAUCAGAUCAUACAUCAAGCUGAUCAUCAACUCAUAUUUUUCCCCUUAAUUAUGACCACUUGGUCUUUUUAUAGAUCCACUUCAGAGGAUUACAAAUAUAGUACUAUUACUAUAUACUUGACUUUAAGUUGCUUUUUAGAGCAAUUAUUUAAGUUCUUGAUAUCAAGCAGAACAAUCCAUACAUAUUAACGUGAAAUGGACGUAGGUCGUUUCAAUUAGUAUGGACUUUCGCCUCUAUAAUUACCUGGAGGAUCAUAGUUGCAAGAGACAACAUAUCCUCCAUUGUUACACUGAACCCUAGCACAUCCAACACGAACCGAGUUACGCCAAACCACCUGAGUAUAGUGUCCACACACCUGUCCUUGUGCACAAGUAUUUGAGUCAUGGUCAUAAUACUGUUUCUCAUCGACCCACAUCUCAACGGCCUUAGCAGCCGUCAUGAAAUCGCCACUUCCCUCAGCUAGGUUUUCGCCGUAUUGACCAUGAGAAUGUACGAGGUUACAAUCUGCAGCCAAUUGGGAAGCAUAAUUUUGCGCAUAGGCUGCUACCUGGUCGUCCCAGGUCAAAGGUUCUACACCUACAUCUGCACGAGCUGUGUUAUGGGCAUCCAAAUAGUCUUGUUGAGAAUUUUGGGCACGGCAAGAGUGGGAUAUUACUAGGAAUAAGAGAAGUGUAGAGACAAGAAGAAAUGAAGGCAAUUGUGAAAAGAGAACAAAUCCCAUGACUAUAGGAGAAAUGUUGUAUCUUGAAUGGAAAAACUAGAUUUACUACCAAGGGUAUUUAUAGGAGAAAUCUUGAAGAUUUCACGGUGAUUAUUCAUGUACUUACUAAAUUUUUUGACAUGGUAAUAUCAAUGUAAUAUAUCCUGUUAUAGAUAAUUUAUCCUAUUUUCUAGGUUACCAUAUUAAACUUAUAUAUGCAGUUACCAAUUGUUGUAAAAUAGUUUUACCCGAUGUUGCAAAAUAAUUUUAAAUUGUCAAUGCAUGAAGUUAAACACUUUUUUGAUCUAUCAGAUGUGCUUUUUGUUAAAUAAAGUAGACUGGUUAUGGUUAAUGUGUUAAUUAAUAUUUUCUACAUUUAACGAUCUGAUUAAUUUUUACUUCCAUAUUUAUAUCUCUUUUUUUUCAGAAUGGGAAUGUCCAUUGGAAAAAGAAUUUAAAAUAAAUACUUUGAUGUUUGAUUUUUCUAAUAAUCUUAUUUCUAAAUCUUAUAUUAUAUUUCUUAUAUGUACAAUCAAUUCUCUAAAAGAAAAAACUAUAAUAAUACCAAACACAGUUUGUGUCUUCUUCUUUCUUUUCUCAAUAUUUGUGGAAAACUUGAACAUGGCCGUCAUCUCGAUGACGUUAAAUAACUAUCAAAUUUGGACGUAAAGAAUAUUUGGAUAUUCUUCAGUUCUUUCUCUAAUUUCCUUCCCUUAAUUUCCAACUUGAUGUUACUCAUGUACUAUCAUACUUUUCUAUUAUCUCAUUCCAAUCACGGCUUGAUCUGGAGUAUAAAUAAAUUUCUAUUUUCUUAUCCCAAUCACGACUUGACUUUAGAUUCAAAUGGAGUAUUUUUUUAUUUUUUGUAAAUAGCUUAUGUUUAUUUCGUUUUUCGACAUUAGUGGAAAAGAAAGCUCAAGUUUUAGUGAAGCUAGAGUUUGAAAUCCUCGAGGGUGUUUUAAGAUUUAACUACUUUAUUUUUCCAAGAAAUAGCACCCUAAAGCAUCUCGCUGUAAUGGCGUUCACUUAUUUUCCCUUUAAUUUAAAUGGAUAAAUGACAACCAAACUCCUUAAAAAGACUUCGGCCAAUGCUUUAGGUGGUGAAGUAUAGACCCAAUACUUACAAGAGAGACCAGUGUUUUUGUUAUGCAAAAAGAGUAAUUGAAGAAUUUUGUAACUAUUGCCAUUUAGCAAUUUGNNNNNNNNNNCNNUCACUUUUGUUUGACAUGUAUACUAAAAAUAGAUUUUCAUUUUUACUUUUCACUUUAUGCAUGUUAAGAGAAGACAAUUUUUUUUUCCUGUUAUACCCACAGUAUUUAUUACUCAUUUCAAAUCAUUUUCUCAAAUCCAAUAAAAUAUGCAUCAAUUAAUAUGGGUAUCAUGGUAAAUUAUGCAUUUCAAUCAUUUUUUCUUAAAGGGUUUGAAAAAUCAAAACGUGUCAAGUAAAAGUAAACAGAGUACAUAUUAUUGUAAAUUAACUUAUCGUGAUGAUUAAAAAAAUUAUAGUCUAUUAGAUGCAAAAAAAAAAAAAAUGAAAACUUAGACCCUACACUAUGAUAAUUGACAUCCUCGUAUAUCUUAGUCCUUAAAAACGUUUAUGUGCUACGAUCCCUAGGUAAAGGUUUGCGCCAUCAGGGUCGCAAAUUGUGCCUCACGACUUGACUAUAAGAUCAAAAUUAAGGUAUCUUAAUUAAUUUAUUCUAUUGAUAAUAGAGCUUAAAAUUCAAAUGUUCUUGAGGUUUUACUUUUCUUAUUGCAAUACAUUCCUCAUUAACUUUAUAGAACAAAAAAAAUGAUACAGUGAGAAAUCAUAGUUGCAAAUCUGAUUGUCAAGAUUUAUCAGAUUUGGGUUCAAAGAAAGUAGAAUAACUUUAUCUUUCAGCAAAUUUGUAUGGACUUAUUUGAGUUAUGCAUUGCUUGGUUCAUCUCUUAUGAUGUAUUGAAGGUUCUCUACGUAGCAUGUCAUGAGUGAAGAAUCAAAAUAGAAUUGCAAGCUCAAUAUUAAAAAGAAUAACUGAAAGUAGAAUUGAAAUUUUUGUGGAAGAAAAUAAUUGGAUAGUUUAUUCAAUUCACGAAUGGCCUUAUAUAGGCAUACAAAUUAGCUUGAAUAUGUUAUCCCACUAAACAAACUCUCCUAAACUUUAGGAAAAAUAUCUGCAACUAACAAUAACAAAAUAACAACUUGAAGCUAAAAACUAGCUAUACUACUGACUUAGUCAACACUACAAGUUGUACAUGGCACAAGUGCAGGAUUAAAGUUGCAGGCACCAUCAGCGUCGUACAUUGUGCUACAGCCUACAAGAGUUGACUCCAACACAAAGAAUGAGAAAAGAAUCAAUACAAACGGAAAGGUAAACAUCUUUACUGGGAUUGUGAAUGCUUUUAUUUGUUUUGAUUCCUUUUAGGCAAUUCGGAUCAGGUUAACCCGGAUUCAUGUAGAUGACGUGAAUUAUAGCACACGAAAAUUUGUAAAUCGACCCGAAUUUCAGUUUUUUAUCCCUAAAAUGCCAAAAGAAGAGGAACGGUCAUGCUGAAGCCAUGAUUAUUGUUCAUUAGGUUAUUUUUUAUGGCCCCGCAAACUGAAAAUUCUGGAUAUCGGGUAGAAUUCCAGCUUUACGGUCGUAAAACACAAAACACGAGGAACGGUCAUGGCAAGGAAAUGACUAAUAUUCCUUAGAUCAUUUUUUAUGGGACGGUAAAAUGGCGACUCGGGUCUGGUCGCUCGAACUAUGCAGAUGGCAUGGGCUAUAGCACACAAAAAUUUAGAAAUCAAGUAGAAUUCCAGUUUUGUGGGCCUAAAAUGCCAAAUAAUGAGUAAACGAUGACUAGUAUUUCUUAGGUCAUUUUUUAUUGGUCGGAAAUUUUUUAGGUGAUUCGGGUCCAGUCGUCCAGACCCAUGUAGAUGACGUAAGCUAUAACACACGAAAAUCUAGGAAUUAUACGGAAUUAAAAAAUUUAUGGCCCUAAAAUACCCAAAAAUGAGGAAUGGUCAUGGCGAGGCGAAGACUAAUGUUCCUUAAGUCGUUCUUGAUGGGCCAAAAACUUUUUAGGCGAUUCAGGUCUAAUCGCUCAGACCCAUGCAAAUGGCGCGAGUUAUAUAGCACAGAAAAUUUGGAAUUGGUCGAAUUCCAAUUUGUUGGCCUUAAAAUGCCAAAAAAUGAAGAACGGUCAUGCUUAAGUCAUGACUAUUGUUCAUUAGGUAAUUUUUAUGGCCCUGCAAAAUUUUAGUUUAUUCGAAUUCGGUAGUCUGAAUUCAUGCAUAUGGCUAUAGCACACGAAAAUUUGAAAAACGACCUGAAUUCUAAUUUUUUGGCCCUAAAAUGAAAAAAAAAGGAACAUUGUUCAUUCAGUCAUUUUUUAUGGUCCCGCAAAAUCUUAGGCGAUUCCAAUCCAGUAGCCCAGAUUCAUGCAGAUGCGUGGACUAUAACACAUGAAAAAUUAGAAAUCUGCCGGAAUUUCAAUAUUUUGGCACUAAAAUGCCUAAAAAUAAGGAACGGUUACGCCGAAGCCGUGACUAUUAUUCAUUAGGUCACUUUUAUGGUCCAGUAAAAUUUUAGGAGAUUCAGAUCGGGUAGCCCUGAUUCAUGUAGAUGGCGUGGAUUAUAGCAUACGAAAAUUUGGAAAUCUGCCCGAAUUCUAAUUUUUUGGCCUUAAAAUACCAAAAAUCGAGGAAUGGUAAUGCCAAAAUCAUGAUUAUUGUUGAUAAGUUCAUUUUUUAUGACCCCGUAAAAUCUUAGGCGAUUCGGAUCCGGUAGCCUGGAUUCAUGCAAAUGGUGUAGACGAUAACACAUGAAAAUUUGAAAAUCGACCCCAAUUAUAGUUUUUUGGCCCUAAAAUGCAAAAGCCUAGGAACGUCCAUGUUGAAGCAAUGACUAUUAUUCGUUAGGUAAUUUCUUAUGAUCGUGUAAAAUUUUAGUCAAUUCGGAUCCAGUAUCCCGGAUUCAUGCAGAUGGCCUGGACUAUAAAGGAAAUUUGGAAAUUGGCCUAAUUCCAGUUUUUUGGCCCUAAAAUGCAAAAAAUAAGGAAAUGUCAUGCCGAAAACCAUGAAAAUGAUUCAUUAGGUUAUUUUUGUGGUCCCUCCAAAUUUUAGGAUAUUCAAAUCUGGUAACCCGAAUUCAUGCACAUAGAACGGAUUAUAACACACGAAAAUUUAAAAAUCGACCUGAAUUCUAUCUUUUUAGACCUUAAAUGCCAAAAAAGAGGAACAGUCAUGCCGAAGCCAUGACUAUUGUACAUCAUUUUUUAUGGACCCCGCAAAAUUUUAGGCGAUUUAGAUCCGGUAGGCCAGAUUAUUGUAGAUGGCGUGGACUAUAGCAUGCAAAAAAUUAGAAAUCGGCCCGAAUUCUAGUUUUUUGCCCUAAAUUGCCAAAAAAACAGGGAACGAUAUGUCGAAGCCAUGACUAUUAUUCAUUAAGGCAUUUUUUAUAGCCCCAUAAAAUUCGAUAUCCACACCUAAAAUAGCUAUCACUUCGCCAUGAUUGUUCAUUGUUUUUUGAAUUUUAAGACCAUAAAACAGGAAUUCAGGAUAACUUCUAGAUUUUCGUGUGUUAUAGUCCGUGCAUCUACAUGACUCGGGUGUCCGGUCCCGAAUUUACUAAACUUUUGCAGUCCAAUAAAAAAUGACCUAAUGAAUAAUAGUCAUCGUUUCGCCAUGAUCGUUUCUCAUUUUUGCUGUUUUAGGGCCACAAACAGAAAUUCAUGACGAUUCCCAGAUUUGCGUGUGCUCUAGUCCACGCUAUCUGUAUAAAUUCUGGUGACUAUUUUAGAAUCUCCUAAAAUUUUGUAGGCCCAUCAAAACUGACAUAAUGAACAAUAGCCACCGCUUUCUCGUGAUUAUUCCUCAUUUUUUUGGCGUUUUAGAGCCAUAAAAUAGGAAUUCAGGACGAUUCCCAGAUUUUAGUGUGCUAUAGUCCACGCUAUUUGCAUGAAUUCAUGCGACCGACUUCGAAACUCCUAAAAAUUUUGGGUUCCAUAAAAAUUGACCGGAUGAUCAAUAGUCAUCGCUUCGCCAUUACCCACCGUCUUUAUUUGGCAUUUUAAGGCUAUAAAAUAGAAAUUCAAGACGAUUCUCAAAUUUUCGUGUACUAUAAGUCUACACCAUAUGCAUGAAUUCGGGCGACCGAACCAGAAUCUCCUAAAAUUUUGUGGAACUAUAAAAACGACCUAAUUAGUAAUAAUCAUCGUUUCACCAUGAUUGUGCCUCAUUUUUUGGCUUUUUGGACCAUAAAACAGGAAUUCAAGAUGAUUCCUAUUUUUGUGUGCUAUAGUCCAUGCCAUUUGCAUAAACUCGGGCAACCGGCCUAGAAUCUAUUUUGCGAGCCCAUCUAGAACGAUGUAAUGAACAAUAGACAUAGAUUCGCCAUGACUGUUCUUUAGUUUUUGGCGUUUUAGGGCCAUAAAAUAGGAAUUCAAGACUAUUACAAAAUUUCAUAUGAUAUUGUCCACACCAUUUGCAAGAAUUUGUGCGACCGACCUCGAAUCUCCUAUAAUUUUACAAGUCCAUAAAAAAGACCUAAUGAACAACAAUCAACACUUCGCCAUGAUUUUUUGUGUUUUAGCGGCAUAAAACAGAAACUCAUCCAGAUUUUCGUGUGUUAUAGCGACGGGGCCAUCUGCAUGAAUUCAAGCGACUGGCCCUGAAUCUACUAAAAAAUUUUAGGCCCGUCAAAAAUAACAUAAUGAACAAUAGUCAUCGCUUCGCCAUGACUGUUCCUCAUUUUUUGGAUUUUUAGGGCCAUAAAAAAGGAAUUCAAGACGAUUCCCAGAUUGUCGUAUGCAAUAGUCCACGCUGUUGAUACCCAAUUUUUCCCUAUAAUAUUUUUCAAAUGCAUAUAUACCUUCAAAACUAUGCAUUAGCAUCAAUUGAUAUUUGUCAUAAUUUCUACAUUUUUCAAAUUAAUUUAUCCCAGUAUUUUAUUUAUAUAAAUAAUUACAAAUUGCAUCACAAAGGACUUUAUAAUAAUUUCACAGUUUAAUUGCUAUUUAUAUUCAUAUUGAGCUCAAAUUAUUUCGCAAAUAGCUAUAUCUACAUUUUUGGGUUAUAAUUGCAAUAACUUUGCAAUUAUAGCACAUGCAUGCAUUAUUGCAUUAUUUUACCAGAAAAUAGCUCAUUGUAUUUUUAUAAUCUUGAGUAAUUAUUUUAAAGCAUUUCCAUGCAUGAAAAUUAUUUUUUUUGUAAUCCGUUAAUUAUUUUAUAAAAUAUAUUUUAUCAAUUAUUUGGGUAUUUAACAAAUAACCCUUUUUUCAAACCUAACCAUUUUUAUCAACCUAAAACCCCCUUUAAUAUAAACCCAAAAGCCAGCCCAAACCCCUUAGGCUCAAUCUGCCUACCCGACCCAAUAACCCAUCUUCAAUCGUGGUCGUUGAUCUUUUAGAUCAACGGUCCACGUUCACUCUUACCUUAAUUAACCCUUAACCUACCCCAAACCCUUUUCAUUCUCUCAAAACCCGUCAUCAUCAUCUCCCCUCAUCUCCCAACUGUAUUUCAACCUAACCCUAACCCUAGUCAUCGUCAUCGGCGUAAACCUCCCUCUUAUGGUGCUUCUAUGUCUUCUCUGACCACUCCUGGUCUCAUACGCUCCACGGUUCUUUGACUUCAUGAGUCCUUGAGAAGAUCUCAAGGAACUCCAACUGGUUCUGGUUUGAAACUUUGUUUACCGGCCAGUAUCAGGCCAUUUUUCAUUUGUAAGUAAGGAUCUCUCCUUGUUUUAUUACGAAUCUAUGGGUUCUAGACCUAUUCUCUUCAUUUCUGUUAUUUUUCCAAAAAACCCUAGUUCGAUAUUGUUGGUUCUUCUUAGAUCUUUAUAGAUCUGAGGUGAUUCGAAUGUUAUUAAGUGUUUUCCUUCAAAAUAUCUCUUGUUUUAAUUGAUUAUUUCGAUUUUUAAUCACUCUUUCUAAACUAGGGUUCAUCUCAAACUUUUCUUCAACGAUUUUUCUAAGUUCUCAAUGUUUAGUUAAUUAUUUUUUCAUCAUCUUAACUGAUUUUUGCAUGAAUGUUCAAACCCUAGUUGAUUCUGUGCGAUAUAUUGGUUUCUUCGAUUUUGUUUCGAUACUUUGUUAUUUCUGUGAUACCAGUCGUAUUAGUUUACUCUGUUUUUGGGCUUACAUAUUUUCCUUGUUAAAAUCCAAUAUUUCUUUGGGAUUGUAACCUAAUUAAGCUCUAUUUAUAGUUUGAACCUGUUUUUCUUGCUGAAUUCUGUAUUUCUGUGAAGCUUUACUUAUUUAAUUUCUAUUUAUGGAAUCAGAGUAAUUCUUUCCCAAAAAUUAGUAUUCUUUUGAAGGGUUUACUGAUUAUUUCCUAUUAUUUUGCUCUGUUAAAAUCUGUGUGUGCACAGAUCUUAUUUGUGACUUUAAUUGAUCACACUUGCCUAAAUAAGUUAUCCGUACGGUUUUGGGAUUCUUACUGAUUCCCUAUUUGGUAUGAUUUGGAUUCCUUACCCUAAUUAACCCUCUUUUGUUGUGAUCGUUAAGUGAUUACCCCUAAUUAAGUGGUCUAUUCCGGACUCCCUUACAUGAAUUGAUUCUGUGAUUAUUUGAUUGCCCCCAAAUUGACUGACUUCUGAUUCUCUUUACCUUAUUUGCUCUACUCUCUAAGUGCUAUAUAUACACUCUUGUUUUACCACUCAAAAACACGAACAGUAGUUCAAAAAUACACACACACACUCAAACUUUCUCUCAUCUUUCUUUCUACUACUUGUGCUCAUUGCUCGUAUAGCCGGCUAAAAGCCAAGGCUAGACUUUGGAACUCUACCUGUCACACCCCUUUUUUAACAACCUAACUCACUUAACUCUCUUAAAUAUAUAAAAAGAUUUAGUAAAGCUCGAAAAGGGCUUUUCAGUUUUGAAAGUGACAAAAGUUGUAUUCAAAGGGAAAAUAACUCAGAGUCACCACCUGACAUUGGUUUCGGUGUGCUAGGUCACCGUUUUUAAAAAAAAAUUCCUUUUAAACAUUUUGGAUUCCAAGACUAAGUCUACACCAGAGAUUUGUGUAAGAGAGUUCAUUUGACUCGGGGAGAAGGUGUUAGGCACUCCCCAAGCCCCGUAACUAGUACGGUUGCAUACUUGAUCAAGUCGGCUUUUAAAAUAUUCAAGUUGAGGUAAAAAUAACACAGAAAAGAAAAAUAAACACACAAGAGGCUCGAGGUCGUCCCCACCUAAUAAAAGAAAAAUAAAGAUAAAAAUAAAAUAAAAGACUGCAAGCGCUACUUUCGGCCUCUAAAUACAAGUACUACGGGGCAUUCCCCGGAACAAAAUAUAUACAAGUCCUUCGGGGCAUUCCCCGGAUAAAUUUAACUAAGGGAACAACCUCUUGCCUCAAAAUUAACAAAAUCCUAAGGCUUGCCUACCCAAGUGUGGUCGGCCUAAGCAUGCUCCUAACGAACAAUAUCAUCAGUAAAGAAAAUAAAAGGAUCUAAAUAAAAGAACUAAGUAAAAGAACAAUUCAAUUCAAUUCAUGGUCAUAUUUUGUUUUAGCUUUUCAUUUUUAUUAGACCGAGCCCGAUACCUAAACCAUGGAACAAAUUAAUUGCUAAUGGGCUUUAGCCUUUCUACCCCUCAAGCCACACGAAGCAGCAACACAUCUAGCAAACAUUACCAGAAAUUGUGAUAUCCAAUGACCAAAUACAUAAGAAAAGCGAAAACAAAAACAGACAAAGACAAAUUGAGAAACUUUUAUAAAGAUAACAUCAAAUAUGUAAAUCAGUACAGCAUCCCAAUAUGCAUGAGAAGAAAAGAUAGAGUGACCUAAACACAUAUAAGCCAUUUAAGACAAACACCUUGGCAUGUUACUGCGCCAUUCUAGAUGCGGUUACUACGUGGAACUUGCAAAACACAUUUAAACUAAUUUAAUAAUCUCAGUGAAUAUAGAUGAAACCAAAAUGAAGGGAAAAACACAAUUUUCAAACACAUGGACUAUCCCGACUCAGUUUUAAAAAAAAACGCUAUCCUAAUGUGAUAAAACUUUGACAUUUUGGACUUAAAUGUUUCAAAAUAAGCUCAAAGGGUGAACAAAAUAUGCUCCAUAAUGCUUGAAAGAAUUCAAAUCCGAGCGAAUAAGAUCAGUCACAAAAAAAAAAUAAAAAAAUUCAUGAACUCAAUCUAAUAAAGAAAAACUACAGAAGAGUUAAUAGACUACACCAAUCUAUUUUCAUUUUUCUUGCCAUACAAAUGAUGUUUCAUAUAAACUAAUGUUGCCAAACGCCUUUCAAGAUCAUUUUGACUAAUCAACUGAUGAUAAGCCUCUUAUCAUAUAAUUAAGUCUAAUAGACUCUUAGUCAAUAUGUUUUCGCCUACACCAAAUCUACACCAAUCAACUGAUGAUAAGCCUUUUAGUCAACCAUAGCCAUUCAAAUUUGCAAACUAGCACCCACUUUCAAGCUCAUUUUGACUAGAAAAGUAGCAGAAAAGAUUUAAACAAGAACAAACCAAUUGACAUGAUCAUCACCAAAGAGAAACACAAAUCACAACAGAAACAAAAGAAAGGAAUAGAAGUGAACCUGUUAAGCUGAAAUCCUUCUAAAUAACAAUGGAAAAAUUAGCAAAUGCACACUCCUCGAAUAGAAAGAAAAUCCGACGAGAAAACAGCAAGCAAAAUCGAACAACGGAACCAAAACUCGAACGACGAACACGACUCCGACCUCGAACAAACUCGAAUGGAGAACGAAUUUUGGCUCAAUCAACCUCCGUGUUGAAACCGAAACCAAAAGAAGAAACUAAAAUCAUUUUUGAGAUAUUUUCUGAUUUUUUUAAAAUGGAGACAAGUUGAAACAAAAAACCUAAACUCAAACUAUUUUUUGUAUUUUUGUUUUUCUGGAAUUUAAACUCAACUGAAAAUGGACCAAAAUGAGAAGAAAAGAAGAAACUCCCUCUUAGAGCCCAAAUUUUUCCAAAUCAUUUUCUCCAAAUUCUUCUCCUAAUCCCCCGAAAUUUCUGUCCAAGACCCAAAUAUAUAGCUCCCUCUCGAAAUUUCUAUCCUUCUUCAUCAAGAAAUCGUGUGGGACCACAAAACAAAUCCGAAAAUCUUUAACCAAAAUCUGAAAAAGAAGAAAAAAAACAAAGCAAAAUCGAAUUUUAUCUCUUUUGAUGCCAUUAAAGGACAGAUGGAGGGGGUAACUCGAUCCUACGCCUCCCAUUUUGCUGUUCAUGCCUAAAAAGAUAAAAUCGAAAAGGAGAUGAGGAGAAGACGCGCAAAAUCGAAUACUAAUGAUGAGGGGGGACCAUGAGGGGACCAGGAGGCGAGUUGGGUGAGUGGACUCGUCCGAUUCCGGCGAGUAUAGAUCGGCAGAGGCAAGGCAGAAGCGGCUGGAGUUUGUAUUUUAGGUUUAGGGUUAGAUUGGGGAAAAUAUUAGGCUUAUAUUUGGGUAUGGGGAAAUAAUGUGAGCCAAUGGAUCAAAUAAAAUAGAUGGCUAGGAUUUAAAAUGGUAAUUGGGGCGGGUCGGCGGAUUGGGUUGGCGGGUCAGCAGGUUUUGAGUUUGGGACAUGUGUCAAAGGUUAUGGGAUUGGGCUGCCCAGAUUUGGGCCUCUUCUUGACCGAAAUUGGUUUAAAUCCGUCAANNNNNNNNNNNNNNNNNNNNNNNNNUGAAAACAAAAUAUAUUGCUAUAAAAAUAUUAAUAACCUAAACUAAAUAGGAUAAGAUAGAACAUGAAACUAUUUUUGUAUUUUUUAAAAUUUUGUGCCUUAAAAAUAGAAUUAAAAUUAGUAAUAAAGUAAAAUCCUAUAGAUAUAAACCCAAAUAAAUAUCCUAAGAAUACUAGGAUUAUUAGAGGUGAUUCUAAUGCAUGGGUCAAAAAUUACAUGUCUACACUACCUGCUUUACUCUCUGCACUUUGCUUCCUUAACUGGUAUGUUCUUAUUUCAAUAUCAUUCUGAAAUUCAAAUCUAUGUUCCCCAUAGUUGCUAAAUCCUUGUCGAUUUUCGCACUAGUUUAACUGAUUAUGUUCUUAGUUGUUCUUCCUGUUUACUGCUUUGAUCAGUAUGCUUAAGAUGUACACCUUCUUGUUCAAUGUUUUAAUCAGCAUGUCUAUGUUUCUAUCUUCUUGUUUUCUAUUUUAGCCAGCAUGUUUACUUGAGUUUUUGUCUGUUUCUUUCAACUAGCAUGCUCAUUUUAAGUAGUUUAGGCUCCUAAUUUAUCUGAUUAACCACAAUUGGUAUGACUAAUCCUGUGUGGUAGACCCUUGUCCUCAACAUGGAUAUUCCUGCAUUCUGUUUCUAUGCUCUAAUGUCUAUUAUCACUUUAGCUUUAAGUAUAAUUUCCUUGUUAAUACUCUGAAUUAGUAGUUUAUAUUCUAAUGCUAUGAAUUUGGUCGCUGGUUGUCAAUCAAUCCCUACUUGUUCUGUGUAUUGUUCAUCAAUAAAUAUGCUUCCCCUCUUAUCCAUGUUCAUGUGCUUCUGAUUUAAGCUCCCUAUGUUCCCAACUCCCCGAUCCCUAUUUGUAAACUUGUUUGUCUUCACUUAGAAUCAAGUAAUAAAUGGCUUUGAAUCUGGGCACUCUAAGUUUUGUGAUUGUGUGGUUCUUUGUUGAAUCUUUGUUCUUCUCAGAAUUGCUUCCAAAACUAUUUUCACUCUUAGCAUUUUCUUAAAACUGUUUCCAUUCCUAAAAUACCUUUUCACUCCUAAAAAUUUUACCUCUAAACUGUUUUUAAUAAGUUCUUCCAACUAUGUCAGGCACUCUCACUUCUACUCUUAGAUUAUGUAAGUUCUGCCCCUCCAGUGUGUGUAUUGCCUAGGAAUCCAUGAGAUUCCUCAGAACUCUGGCACACUGGGGCUGGCCCUUCCACACCGCACAUAACUACUUCUCUAUUUAUAAGGAUCUUGGUGUGAGCAUUGCUCAGGGUACUUUAGGCCCUUGGGAACUUUGACGCACCAGGAUACCUCAUUGGAUACCAUGGACUAUGACAUCUUGGACUGUUUUGAAAGCCUGGUAUUUCCAAGUUCACUUUGGCCUAUUUCAGGCUCCAUAUAGCAUAACUUAUAUUUAUUAUGUAAUUUAUUUAUUUAUGGUCUGUAAUGAUAAUCUUUAUAAACAGAUAUUAGGGAAAUUAGUAAAAGAAUAGGAUUCUUAUAUGAUUUUUGUGGGGAAACCGGGUAGAAAUCAUGCCUUUUGGUCUAUAUUAUAUUUACUUGCAUCAGAAAUUAUGCUUUAGGUUUAUACUAUGUUUACCUGUAUUAGAAAUCAUGCUUUAGGCUUAUACUAUGUUUACAUGCUUUAGAAACCAUACUUUUAGGAUCGCUUGGCAUACUAGACAACAUAUUAUAGGCUCACUACCUCAUUUGUUACAAAACUCUGUUUCUGCAUAAUCAUGAUCAUCUAGGAAUCCUGUUAUUAAGGUACUGCUACAAUUCAGCCUAAUAAAAACGUCCAUUCUUUCUGUGCAUUGGAGAUCCUGCCUUAGGACUGUAUUUGUAUUCGGUUUAAACCAUGUCUAUAUCGCCUAAAUCAAUAACUAUAUUGUCUAUAAAAAAUGUUUAAAAACAAUCCCAACACUUAGAUGUCAUAGAGAUAUGUGUGUAUAAACCAGUUCUGUAAUGUAAUAUUCAGCACCUAGACCAGCAUGCCUAUAGGAUCCAAACUACCUGCUUAAAAUUGUUUAUUGGUUUACUGCGCUCCUAAUGAAUGAUUAGAUACCGUGCUUAUAGGACAUCACUGUUACACGCCUAGACAAGCCUGUAAGGCGACUAAAAUCCUGCUAACUGUAAAACUAUGUUUUUGUUGUUUGUGAACUGCCCAGAUUCAACAGGCCUUAAAAUCAGUAUGCAAACUGAUUAGGGUCUCUAUCACCUCGCUUUAACACGAUGAUGCAUACAUUCUAUUUGCUCACCUAGAUAUCCUGCUCUAGGACCUUUGGAAAUGUCUGAAAUCUUGUUGUUCGAGACAUGUUGUUGUUUGCUUAUUUGUGGAGGUAAACGUGAGCCCCUUAAUUGUUCUUUACUUGACAGUCAUGUUUGUUCUUUGUUGCCGCUUAGAUUUUCCCUUUUAAACACCUUAGGAGAGUCUAUAACUGCCUAAAAUUAGAGGUCCUAAACACCUCCGGGACCACAAGGAAGGGACGAGUAAUGCACGCAUAGAAUUGUGUGCUAAAUGAUAUAAAACCGCUAAGGGGAGGGUAAUUGGGUAGUACAAGGAUAUGAUGACCUGUGUGCUAAUGCCACGUGUAACCCCUCUAGUUGAGAAAGGUUUACCGGGUAUUGUACAGAUGUGAUCCUGUAGGCUAAAAAACCUAGCACCCCUUUUACCCUUUGUUUUAAAUGUAAUACCAAUUUGUCUAAAUUGCUUUAUCAGUUUAUAAGAUUAAUUCACAUAAUUUGAGUCCGAACGGGACUCACCGUUGUGGACCGCGAGGGGUGCCUAACACCUUCCCCUCAAGGUUAUUUCGAGCCCUUACUCAAUCUCUGGUAAUGCAAAUCGGUUUAUGAGUUACUUGCUUUAGGUGCCCUAACGCAACUUAAUCCGUUAGAUGGCGACUCUUCAAAUUCAACUACCCAAUUCCCGAAAGGAAAUGAGUUGUUCCCAAUGAAUGUCGAAAUCCGGACUCCGCGAGGAAAAAUGGGGUGCGACAGCAUGACGACUCUGCUGGGGAUAUUUUAGGCUCUUACCAUAACAAACUUGUUUUUGUGAAUUAGUCUUAAGCAUGCUUAUUUCUGUUAACACAUGUGCACCCUUCCCAUUUCCCCUUUAUUUGGAUUUAAUUGCUUAUUUCUCAAGCAUUUACGAUUUUUUUUAUUUCCUGAAACUGAUUUGACUCUUUGUUUUCUUUUUUUUUGUAACUGUCUUUCAAUUAUUUAAAUACCGCAUAUCAUUUUUUAAACGUGUAAAUACUUGACAACAUGCUAUUAUUGCUGCAUAAAUCAUGCUCAACAUCAUAUUUCACUCGCGCGUAAUCAAUUCUAUAGCAACGCUUGAUGAGUGUUUACGCUCUUCCUAUAUAUCACCCUUUUAAAUUCGGAAAGGCAUGUUUGCGGUAAAACUAUUCGAUCAGCGGGCAUUUGACGGUUCCAUGCCUUUCCCUUUCAAGUUGUCCACUUGAGGGUCCUAGUCUAGACCUCUAUAGCAACCUUACUCUGAUUAAUUGUACAUGCAUCAUGGUCAAACCUAGCCAGGGUUAAUAUGUUGUCCACAUAAUAACCCUUUAAGACAAGCCUCAUCCAAAUGUCCAUCGAGUUUUUCAUAAUCCCAACGGACGCAACCACGACUGUAUGCAUUUUUGGAGAAACAUGUGUUAAUGUGCUAAUCAUUGUUGUAUAAAUAGACGAACCUGGAGGGGGGACAUGGCCUAACCAUGUUUUGUUUUGCAGAAAAAAUGAGGCACGAAGUCCCGAAGUUUGGCAUAAUCGGUAGCAUACCUUUAAUUUUGCUAGAUUGGUGGAGGGAUCUUCCUUCAAGUGACCAAAAUCAUGUGAAAAGGGUCUUAGGAAAUUUGCCUUCUUUGUUGGAUCUUCAGCCAAACAAAAUGUUGAUCGAAGUUGCCACCAUGUUCUGGGAAAAAGAAAGGGUUGUGUUCCGCUUUAGAAACAUAAAAAUGACCUUGCUGGGUUGCCUUGGGAUAGCCCUGGUUUAUUGGCACCUGAAAACCGCACCACUAGGGGGUUUCUGAAGAUGAUGGGGUUAAAGAAGAAUGAUGACUUGGAGUGCAUGAAAAACUCCUACAUACCUUUCGACUUCCUCUAUGAACGACAUGGUCAUAGUAGCUUUUACCGUAUUUUUGAUGAUGAAUUCUUCAUCACCUAUUUAGGUUGGAUUCAUCGUAGGGUCUUUGUGUUCAUUGUGUGUUUCUUGGGCAUUCUAGUGUUCCCGAUCCAAGGGGACAAAAUCCACACCAGGCUUGCCAAAACUUUGAUGGACGGGAUCGAAGGGCAAACAUAUACCAUUAUCCCUAUGAUCAUUGCAGAUAUGUACCGGGCCUUGGAACACUGUCAGAAGGGGUUCAGAUUCUUUGAGUGUUGCAAUUUGCUGCUGUAAGUUUGGCUGCUAGAACAUCUCCAAAAGGGUCAAUACUGUCAGGAAUUUCCACGAAGGCCGUGGAAUGAUCACAUAGCCUUCCAUUAUCCCUAGAGAAUGACUUAUAUUCCCAAUAGGUUUUGCUCAACCAGAGGAUGAUGUAGGAUGGGUACAAUUUUUCAACAAUUUGAUCGAGGACCAGGUUCAAUGGAUGUUCGAGUGGUUCCCAACCGACGAGUUCAUCAUUAGAUCCAAGGAUGUUCCACACUUGGUGUUGAUUGGUUUAAGGAGAAUAUACCUUUAUGCUUCCCUUAGGGUUAUGAGACAGUCAGGCAGGAUACAGGUCAUACCGCGAGUCGCUAAAAUGAGUCACUUCAUAGACGAUUUUCAGAGUGACGCCAUCCCAUAUAAGAAUGAAGCAUAACACAUGUGGCACUUGAAGAUUAUCGUUGAAAAGGAUACCAUCGAGCCGGAUUGAUAUAAUGCGGGUCAUACAUACUUCUACCCCUCAUGGUUGGAUGAUAAUAUAGCAGGAAUCUUCGAGCCAAGGGUUGGUCCAGGAAACAGGGUCAUAGAUGAAGUUGCCGAAGCGCAGGUGAAGUACAACAAAUUGUGCAAAAGNNNNNNNNNNNNNNNNNNNNNNNNNNNNNNNNNNNNNNNNNNNNNNNNNNNNNNNNNNNNNNNNNNNNNNNNNNNNNNNNNNNNNNNNNNNNNNNNNNNNNNNNNNNNNNNNNNNNNNNNNNNNNNNNNNNNNNNNNNNNNNNNNNNNNNNNNNNNNNNNNNNNNNNNNNNNNNNNNNNNNNNNNNNNNNNNNNNNNNNNNNNNNNNNNNNNNNNNNNNNNNNNNNNNNNNNNNNNNNNNNNNNNNNNNNNNNNNNNNNNNNNNNNNNNNNNNNNNNNNNNNNNNNNNNNNNNNNNNNNNNNNNNNNNNNNNNNNNNNNNNNNNNNNNNNNNNNNNNNNNNNNNNNNNNNNNNNNNNNNNNNNNNNNNNNNNNNNNNNNNNNNNNNNNNNNNNNNNNNNNNNNNNNNNNNNNNNNNNNNNNNNNNNNNNNNNNNNNNNNNNNNNNNNNNNNNNNNNNNNNNNNNNNNNNNNNNNNNNNNNNNNNNNNNNNNNNNNNNNNNNNNNNNNNNNNNNNNNNNNNNNNNNNNNNNNNNNNNNNNNNNNNNNNNNNNNNNNNNNNNNNNNNNNNNNNNNNNNNNNNNNNNNNNNNNNNNNNNNNNNNNNNNNNNNNNNNNNNNNNNNNNNNNNNNNNNNNNNNNNNNNNNNNNNNNNNNNNNNNNNNNNNNNNNNNNNNNNNNNNNNNNNNNNNNNNNNNNNNNNNNNNNNNNNNNNNNNNNNNNNNNNNNNNNNNNNNNNNNNNNNNNNNNNNNNNNNNNNNNNNNNNNNNNNNNNNNNNGGCUGGAAUAUAUGGAGUACAGUCUGAUGGAAUUGGAAGGAAAAUGAGAAAGAGAGUCACCGAUUGCCAGAACACCGAGGGAAACAAAAGGAGGACAUUUGGCAAGGGCAUUUUUACUGCUGAAUCUGCGCGAACUGGGGGAACUGAUCGACAAAAGCAUCCAGUCUGGAGAGGGUCCUUCUGGGACCAAGUAGAUUAGGUUUAAUUGCUUUUCAAAUGUAAUAAGGUCAAGUGCCAUUAGUAAUAUUAUCUUAUUUAGUGUCGUUUUGGGUCGUCUUUUUUUUACAUUAAUGAAAUGAGGCAAUUAUUGUCACUAAAUUUAUCCAAAUCUAUUUGUCGCUAGGCCUACCUUGAGCAUAAUGGGGCUCCCAAAUUAGGACGCGAAUUUAUAUUCCCGCAAUAUGUGUUUAAAUACCGCAAACAUUUCAGAAUCUUUAUUGACUUGUUUACCUUUUGUUUUUCUUUAUUCUUUAUUAUUCCCAUCCCCUAAGGUCGGUUCGCACAUACUGGCAUCAUCAGCAUAUCACACCAGAUCUAGAGGCCCUCCACCUCCUCCUCCUCCAGAUCUCAGACGGUCGGAGUACUCCGACACCAAAUGACUUGGUUUUGCGGUUGGAACAAAAGAUACUGGAGUUACAGGGAGAAUUUGAGCAGGUCUACAACUUAGCAAACCUCUCCCCCACCCUCAACGUCCCUGACAUCAACCAAUAAAAUACCAAAAAUCUAGCACCUCCCCAAAACACACCAAACCAGCCUCUUCCCGCACCACAUCAAUAUGCAACUCCACCUCAAAAUCCUAAUCCUUUGCCAAUACCAACUCCACCAUAACACCAUCAUCAACCAAUCCAGUACCCAUAUACCACUACCUAUCACACUCCUCAAAACACACCAUAACCCAUUCCCGAUCCUCAAAACUCAACCAACGACCACCACUACACCCAAGUCCCUAGCACUCACCAAAACAACCCUAUAUAUGUGGAAACCAUACCUCACUCUACUCAACUAAUCUCCUAUACACCAGAAUGCACUGAGAAGGACCUGCUCAUCAAUAACAUGGCUGAGGAACUCAAGAAAUUGACAAGUCGAGUUUAGGGUGUUGAAGGAGGCAAAAGGUAGAAGGUCUGAAUUAUGAGGAUCUGUGCAUACAACCGGACGCGGAACUGCCGGAGGGUUACAAACUUCCCAAGUUUGAAAUGUUUGACGGAACAGGUGAUCUCAAGGUUCAUUUGAGAACUUACUGUGACAAGCUCAUGGGGGUCAAAAAAGAUGAAAGGAUCUGAAUGAAGCUCUUCAUGAGAAGUCUUACCAGAGAUGCCCUGUUCCAAUACAUAAGCCAGAACCCUAAGAAGUGGGCCAAUUGGGUGAGCAUGGCAUCAGAAUUUAUGGACCGGUUUAAGUUUAACAUGGAGAAUACACCAUAUGUCUUCUAUAUCCAGAAUUUAAAGAAGAAACCAACUGAUACUUUUCGCGAGUAUGCUACUCGUUGGAGGGCAGAAGCAGCCAAGGUCAGACCAGCACUAGAAGAAGAACAAAUGAACAAGUUCUUUGUCAGGGCACAUGACCCACAGUAUUAUGAAAGGCUAACGGUCAUUGAGAAUCACAAGUUCUCCGAUAUCAUCAAACUCGGAGAAAGGAUUGAAGAAGGUAUCAAAAGUGGGAUGGUGACAAAUUGCGAGGCACUACCGGCCACAAACAAAGCAUUGCAGUCAGGCGGCACAUCAAAGAAGAAAUACGUGGGGGCAGUAAUGGUAGCCCAAGGCCCAAAAUCUCCACUCACAUAUCAAACACCUCUACCCACAUACCAAACACCUCCACCCACAUACCAACCCUCAUCUCCCAGAUAUUCUCAACCCGCCACCACCUAUCAUACUUCUAAAACUCAUCCAACCUACUGUCACUCACCUCCAACUCGUCCAAAUUACCAGAAACCCCGACCUAACUUUGAUCGCAAACCACCUAGACAAUACACUGCUAUUGUUGAACCCAUCGACCAGUUGUACGAAAGGUUGAAGGCAGAUAGUUAUGUCACUCUUAUUCAUGUUGUGGCAAUGGAGAACUCAUCUCAAUAGGUCAACCCAAAGAAAACUUGUGCAUAUCAUUCCGGUAUGAAGGGGCACAAUAUUGACGAGUGUCGCGCAUUGAAAGAUAACAUCCAAACAUUGAUUGAUAGAAAGAUCAUACAGGCAAAGGAAGCCGCGCCCAACAUCUGCAACAACCCUCUCCCGGAUUAUCGGGGUAAUGGGGUCCAUAUUAUAGAAACAAAUGAAGAAUCAGAUCCCAAGGGGUCAAUCGGGCUUAUUCGAGAAGGCGACGACUUUAAACUUGAAGUCACACUCACUCCUAUUAUAGUGCAGAUGCAGUCGUCAGUCAAGGUUAAAGUAACCACAUCAGUUCUCUUUGAGGUAGAGGUAGCUCCGCCGACAUCCACACAUGUUCCAUUUAAGGUAGAAGUGGCCACACCUUUCAUAGUGACAGUAUCAACUACACAUCCUUUCAAUUCUAAAGCCAUACCUUGGGAUUACGUUGUUGAAGCUAGGCGAAAAGGAAAAGCAAAAUUGGAGGAAUCUGAUGCUGCACAAGGAAUGACCAAAACGAGGAGGAUUUAUACACCUGAACACUUGGGUGGAUCGAGUAAAGAGGCUCUACUAAGCAGCUUGCCAUUGAAACUGGACCGGAUGAUCUUUGGAGGAAAGUACAGGCGAGGGAAUACUUUGUUGUUGAUCAUUUGAACAAAAUCCCUGCUCAUAUAUCCAUCUUGUCACUAUUGCAAAAUUUAGAGGCGCACAAGAAUGCUUUGGUGAAGGUAUUAAAUGAAGCUUAUGUGCCCAACAAUAUCACCUGCGGAGAAAUGACCAACAUAGUGGGGCAAGUGCUGAAAAGUCAUAAGAUUACCAUCCACGAGGAUGAAUUAACGCCUGAAGGUUUAAGUCAUAACUGGACAUUGCACAUCACAGUGUAGUUUAAUGAUAAAUUCGUUGCCAGGGUCCUGAUAGAUGGAGGUUCAAGCCUCAACAUUUGUCCGUUGACUACUCUGAAAAGAUUGGGCAAAGGUUUUCAUGAGAUACGACAGGAAGUAUGAAUGUGAAAGCCUUUGAUGGGUCUCAAAGGGCCACAAUUGGGGAGAUAAAUCUUUGCCUGCAGAUGGGGUCAACUUGGUUCGAUGUUGAAUUCCAAGUGCUUGACAUAUCAGCUACAUAGAAUCUUCUGUUGGGUCGACCUUGGAUACAUGCUACUGGGUCUGUGGCCUCCACACUACACCAGGCCGUGAAUUUUGAAUGGAACCAUCAGGAGGUUAUCAUUUAAGGAGAUGGAAGUAAUCCUAUUUAUACUAGUCAAACUAUCACGGUUAUCGAGAAUAGAAGAAGGAUAGGAGGGGAAAUUUAUCACCACAUUGAACAUGUCAAUGCAGUUGAGAAGGAUAAAUGAUGGAGUAACAAGAUAGAAAGCAUACUAGCAUGGUCUGGGUACGUACCCGGCAAGGGGCUUGGGAAGAAUCUCUAAGGCAUUACUAAACCAAUACAGCUCAAACGUCAUGGUACAAGCUUCGGGAUUAGAUACCAAUAUACAUGGCAAGAGUAUGAUGAUUGGUCGCCUCCAUAGCAUGGACCUUAUUACCCUCUCGAGCAACCAAUGCCACAUCUGGGUCAGACCUUUACCAGGGUGAUACAAUAUGGGGAACUAUAGAGGAAGAAGCUUUAGCUAGGCUAAGGAAUUUGUUCCUAGAGGAAGAGGAUAUGGAUUGUAGUGCGAUAAUUGAGGAAGAGGAGGGCCUCACCAUUCAGACUGUGGAGAAGGAGCCGUUCUUAGGAAUUGGACUGCCACAUCAUCCCGGGCCCGCCGAGUCCCUGGGUAGCUUGGCAUUUAGCUUAAUCUAUUUCUAUAGCCAUGCUAGGCAUUUCAAAUGUUUUCAGUAAUUUUGUUUUAAAGACGCAUUUUGUUUCAAAAUAAUUGCUCGAUUCAUCGAGCCGUACUUAUUUGCAUACUUUCAAAAUUUAGUCAAUGCAUUGCUAUUUAUUAUUAUCUUUCACAUCUCUCUUUCUACAGCGUUAUUAUUACUUUUCCUGAUGAACCGAUGAUUGUGACAUGUAAUAAGACAACGCAACAUAAGGAUAGUGACUCGGAGGAAGAAAAUGAAAUACCUAAGGAAAUUGUCCAAGAGGUUGAGAACUUUGAGAAUAAGCCUAAGUCCAACCUGGACGAAACCGAAGCAGCAAAUUUGGGAGAUGCCGAGACCAUCAAGGAAACUCACAUAAGCAUUCAUUAUCACUGCUAGAGAAAAAGGAGUACGUUCGUUUCUUGAAGGAACAUGAGGAUAUCUUUGCAUGGUCAUAUAAUGACAUAACCGGUCUAAGCACAUCCAUAGUAGCUCACAAGUUGCCUACCAAUCCAAUGUGUCCACCAGUGAAGCAGAAACUCAGAAAAUUCAAACCAGACAUGAGCAUGAAAAUCAAGGAGGAGGUCACUAAGAAGAUCAAGGCCAAAGUCCUCAGGUUAGUUGAGUACCUAACCUGGUUAGCCAACAUUGUACCAGUUCUGAAGAAAGAUGGGAAAGUCAAAGUAUGUGUUGACUAUCGAGAUUUAAACAGAGCAAGUCCCAAGGACGAAUUUCCAUUGCCAAACAUACUUAUCCUGGUCGACAAUUGCGCUAAGCAUGAACUCCAAUCCUUUGUAUAUUGCUUCGCGGGUUAUCACCAGAUCUGGAUGGAUGAAGAAGAUGCGGAGAAAACAGCUUUCACCACAUCGUGGAGGGUAUACUGCUAUAAGAUGAUGCCAUUCAGUCUAAAGAAUGAUGGGGCUACUUACAUGAGAGCCAUGACAACCAUCUUCCAUGAUAUAAUACACAAUGAAAUAAAGGUAUAUAUUGAUGAUGUCAUCAUCAAAUCCAAGGGGGCCGCAGAUCACAUAGCAGACUUGAGAAGGUUCUUUGACAGGUUAAGGAGGUACAACUUAAAACUGAACCCCACAAAAUGUGCAUUCGGGGUUCCUGCAGGAAAGCUGCUGGGAUUCAUUGUCAGUCGCUGAGGAAUCGAGUUGGACCCGUCCUAAGUUAAGGCUAUUCAAGAGUUACAGCCACCAAAGAACAAGAAGGAUGUGAUGAGCUUCUUAGGACGUCUCAACUAUAUCAGCCUCUUCAUAGCACGGUCCACAGUUAUAUGUGAACUCAUCUUCAAAAUGUUGAGGAAAGAUGCUGAAACAAGUUGGACCGAAGAUUGUUAGAAGGCUUUCGACAAAAUCAAGGAAUGCUUAUCUACACCGCCAGUCCUAGUCCCUCCAGAACCUAGGAGACCUUUGCUACUCUAUCUAUCUAUAUUAGAUGGAGCUUUCAGAUAUAUUUUUGGACAACAUGACGAGACAUGGAGAAAGGAGCAAGCCAUAUACUACUUGAGUAAGAAGUUCACACCCUAUGAAGCACGAUACUCUCUGCUGGAGCGCAUUUCCUGUGCUUUGACCUGGAUAGCUCAGAAAUUGAGGCAUUACUUCUGUGCCUAUACCACAUACCUCAUAUCCAGGAUGGGCCCUCUGAAUUACAUCUUUUAGAAGCCCAUGCCGACUGGAAAGUUAGCCAAGUGGCAGAUACUGUUAAGUGAGUUCGAUAUCAUCUAUGUAACUCAGAAGGCGGUCAAAGGACAAGCAUUGGUAGACCAUCUUGCUGAAAAUCCUGUGGGAGGGGAAUACGAACACUUGAAAAUGUAUUUUCUUGAUGAAGAAGUAUCAUUCGUAGGAGAGGACAUUACCGAGGUUUACGACGGUUGGAGAAUGUUCUUUGAUGGAGCUGCAAACUUCAAAGGAGUGGGCAUUGGAGCAAUUCUUUUAUCAGAAACAGGUCAACACUACCGUGUAUCUGUGAAGCUUAGGUUUUCAUGCACUAAUAAUAUGGCAGAAUAUAAGGCUUGCAUCAUGGGGCUCAAUUUGGCCAUAGAUAUGAAUGUACAAGAGCUGCUUGUAAUCGGUGAUUCGGAUCUUCUGGUACAUCAGUUUCAAGGAGAAUGGGCUACGAAGAACACCAAAAUACUACCAUACUUACAUCAUGUACAUGAAUUGAUGAAAAGAUUCACAAAGGUAGAAUUCAAACAUGUACCCAGAAUUCAAAAUGAGUUUGCAGACGCACUCGCCACUUUGUCAUCAAUGAUACAACAUCCAGACAAGAAUUUCCUUGAUCCUGUCCCGGUGAGGAUCCAUAAUCAACCGGCUUACUGUGCUCUUGUUGAAGAGGAAACGGAUGGAAAACCUUGGUUCCAAGAUAUCAAAGAAUAUUUGGCAAAAGGAGAAUAUCCAAAGCAGGCAAACCACACUCAGAAAUGCACAUUGUGGAGGCUAUCCAAUCACUUCUUCCAAAGCGGAGGGACCCUGUAUAGAAGAACUCCUGAUCUAGGGUUGUUAAGGUGUGUUGACGCAAAGGAGGCUUCCAUACUACUCGAAGAAAUACAUGCCGGAACUUGUGGACCACAUAUGAAUGGUUUUGUUCUAGCCAAGAAAAUACUCAAAGCUAGAUAUUUUUGGAUGACCAUAAAGACGGAUUGCAUCUGAUAUGUACAGAAAUGCCACCAAUGUCAGGUACAUGCAGACAUGAUAAAGGUACCACCCAAUGAGUUCAACGCAACAAGUACACCUUGGCCUUUUUAUGCCUAGGGAAUGGAUGUCAUCGGUCCGAUCGAGUCCACUGCUUCAAACGGGAACAUGUUCAUUUUAGUGGUCAUUGACUAUUUUACAAAAUGGGUAGAGGCUGGAUCCUACAAAGUUGUGACCAAGAAAGUCGUCGCAGACUUUGUCAAGGAUCGUAUUAUUUGCCGAUUCGGAGUUCCCGUGUCCAUUUCCACCGAUAAUACCGCCAAUCUCAACAGUGACCUGAUGAAAUCAAUGUGUGAAACCUUCAAAAUCAAUCACAAAAACUCUACAGCAUAUAGACCUCAGAUGAAUGGAGUUGUAGAAGCCACCAAUAUGAACAUCAAGAAGAUACUAAGGAAGAUGGUAGAAAACCACAAACAAUGGCAUGAGAAGGUACCCUUUGCCCUAUUGGGGUACCACACUAGAGUCCGCACAUCAACUGGAGCAACCCCUAUUUACUGGUUUCUGGUACCGAAGCUGUCAUCCCAGCCGAGGUAGAGAUUCCUUCUUUGAGAAUCAUACAGGAAGCCGAACUCAGUGAUGCAGAAUGGAUAAGGAGCCGCUAUGAGCAGUUGGCCCUUAUAGACAGAAAAAGAA